CGUUCCAAUGUAUGGACCCGAUCCCCAUUUCUCGCCUCAUCUCUUCCCCAUCCCGUGCUCCAACCUUGCCUGAUUUCCCCGGCGUCUGCGUAGAUAGGAAUCCAACGGCAACUGCUCGCCGGAGCUGGCUACAUCCUCGUCCAUGGCGGCUGCGUCCUUGGCUGCGGCGGGGGCAUCCGCGUUGGUGCCGGCUACAUUUUUGCAGCGUCGGCGACAUCCUCGCAAUUCCGGCGAACAUCCUCGCGGUUGCAACAUGUACAUUCUUGCGGCAAGAGGCUGCAUCCCCGUGGUGUCGUCCUCGUCCACAUCCCUGAGGCGCAUCGUCGCGGCGUCAGUGACAUCCUUCGCGGGUCGGCCACAUACCCACGGCGUAGGUCUCAUCCCCACGGCGUCGCCCACCUCUCACUGUCAUCUGCUACAUCCCUGCGGCCUCGGCUAUUAAAUCUCUUGAUUUUUUCAGUAUAGAGGCCAAAGCGGCAGAACAGGUGUCGAAGUGUGCAUGAGGACACAGUCCAUUGGGAAGUGCAUCUUCAGCUUGUCUCUGCUGCCUGUAUGUGGAGGUAGAACAACCCUUGUCACAGUCGAUUCAAGUAAAUCAACUGUUGAUGAGGGUUGCUGGAGCGUUGCUACCUUUUUACCGCGAUAACAAGGUUAUGGACAAGAGAAGAGAAAAUGAUAGCUAUUGCCAGCCAUAUUGGUUUCUCAUAUCACGCCUUAAACAUCUUUAACAAUUGUGAGCUCCGGUCGAUGGUGUUGGUGGACAGAAAGUCAUUUCUUGUUUUCUUCAAUCUUCAGUAAUCACAUCGCCAUUCAGGUUUUUCUUUUUUACACACCUAAUAACUUUCAACUCUUCUAUACCUAGAUGUUAUGCACCGGCAAAUUACUCUCACUUCUCAUUUGAAUUAUAACCUGGAUGUUACUUUCUUCUAGUAGCUGAACCUGUUGUAAAGUUACUGUCUGCCCAAUUCCUUCUAGUGCACUAUGUACUUAAUUUGUAUUAGAAAUUAUUGUGCACUGUAUACUCAAUUUAAAAGUUUCAAAUAAGCAAUGAAAUAUAUUUGUUGUCUUAAUCUGUCAUUUUAAUCUCUAGUUCUCCAUACAGAACAUAUGUACUUAGGACUUGCAGCACAAGUCAUUCCUAUUUCAUUGCCAAUAUUUGUACAGUCAACCGACUUAGUACAAAAGUUGAAUAUACAUGCUACAAACAGCCAAUACAAGAUAUUGACAGAGUUUCAUCUAAACUCCCGACAAUUGGAUGCAAACAAUUCAAAGUAUCCAAAUUUCUCUACAAAAGCUAAAUCCUCUCGCCGGCCAUAUCCUCUCGCCGCUGGGUACACAGUCGAGUCCCCAGGCUACAUCUUGCGCAUGAUAUGUCUGUGUAUUAGGCACAUUUGCGUUUGCAGAUAUGUGGCUGCUAGUUGUAAUCUAGUUUUGUGGAACAUGCGUAGUAGAUGAGACUGAUAUCUAGUACAUGUAUAAUUAGUAGACGUGACUGCUCCAAUAGUAGAAGGAACACUAGAGUUGGACCCGUCUUUUAAUGUAUCACAUGUCGAUCUAUAUUUGCCUGUCGACAUUAGAUGGAACACUAGAGUUGGAGCAAUCACUAGAUGUAUCACCUGUUGAUAUUUUCUUGCACGCCGACAGUAGAUUUAUCGUUGGAGGUUCCAGUAGAUGUAUCACAUGUUCAUAUAUGCUUGCAUGUCGACAGUAGAUGGAACACUAGCGUUGGCCGCCGUCAAUAGAUGUAUCACUUGUCGAUAUUUGCAUGCAUGUCGAUAGUAGAUGGAACAUUAUCGUUGUCGCUGUCAGUAAACUCCAUGUAACUUUUCUAUGGUGUAACCUGUAAUUGAACUCCCUGUAAGUUUUCUUUGGUGUAACCAUUGUUUCUGUCAUCUAUUUUUAAAAUAAUGUAACAUGUAAAUAAAAAUUGAACUAUAUACUGUGUUCUACAUGUAAUCCACAAGAUGCUGCAGUCUAAGUUCAGUUCUUAAUGAAAUACAUUAGUUGUAACAUGUAACCAUUGUGUUCAAAUCGUUUUUAGAUGUUGCAGCUAUUUUAGGCUAAUUGUUUAGAUGUAAUCCACUUCCUGCUAUAGUCCACUAGUUUUCAUGACAGGUCGAUGGAUGGCAAAUCAGCAUUAAACUUAAGGAUGCAGCAAAUCAAGUUGCAGUUUUGCAGAACCAGAUCUGAAGAAACAGAGGAUGUAGCAGACAAGAAUCAGAUUGCCCAAACUUACAAGUGAUUGGAGGGGGAAGAGUUCUUGUAUGUGCUUCGGGAUUUCUGAACUAGGGGAUGUAGCAAAUCAACACUGAACAUAAUGAUGUAGUAAAUCAAGCUGCAGUUUUGCAGAACCAGACCUGAAGAACCACAGGAUGUAGCAGAAUGUCCUUUCCGUCUGGUUUUACUGCGUGUUCUAUUGA